GAAUGCUGGCGGCGUGCCUAAUACAUGCAAGUCGAGCGGUAACAGGGGGUCACCGUGCUCUGACACUCAGGGCUAUAUGCGUGAGGUUGAAUCGAGAGUACAGUGGAACCCUGCUGACGAGCGGCGGACGGCUGAGUAACGCGUGGGAACGGACCCCAAACUGAGGGAUAACUAGUCGAAAGAUUAGCUAAUACCGCAUGUGAUCUUCGGAUUAAAGGAUUUAUCCGGUUUGGGACUGGCCUGCGUACGAUUAGAUAGUUGGCGGGGUAAUAGCCCACCAAGUCGACGAUCGUUAGAUGGUUUGAGAAGAUGAUCAUCCAGACUGGGACUGAGACACGGCCCAGACUCCUACGGGAGGCAGCAGUAGGGAAUCUUUCACAAUGGGCGAAAGCCUGAUGGAAGCAACGCCGCGUGCAGGAUGACGGCCUUCGGGUUGUAAACUGCUUUUAUAAGCGAGAAAUAUGAUGGUAACUUAUGAAUAAGGACCGGCUAACUACGUGCCAGCCGCAGC
rnacentral:rRNA from 1 species